UACGAAGGGGGCUAGCGUUGCUCGGAAUCACUGGGCGUAAAGGGUGCGUAGGCGGGUCUUAAGUCAGGGGUGAAAUCCUGGAGCUCAACUCCAGAACUGCCUUUGAUACUGAAGAUCUUGAGUUCGGGAGAGGUGAGUGGAACUGCGAGUGUAGAGGUGAAAUUCGUAGAUAUUCGCAAGAACACCAGUGGCGAAGGCGGCUCACUGGCCCGAUACUGACGCUGAGGCA
rnacentral:rRNA from 1 species